AGAGUUUGAUCCUGGCUCAGGAUGAACGCUGGCGGCGUGCUUAACACAUGCAAGUCGAACGAUGAUGCCCAGCUUGCUGGGUGGAUUAGUGGCGAACGGGUGAGUAACACGUGAGCAACCUGCCCCUGACUCUGGGAUAAGCGCUGGAAACGGCGUCUAAUACUGGAUAUGUCCCAUCACCGCAUGGUGUGUGGGUGGAAAGAUUUUUCGGUUGGGGAUGGGCUCGCGGCCUAUCAGCUUGUUGGUGAGGUAAUGGCUCACCAAGGCGUCGACGGGUAGCCGGCCUGAGAGGGUGACCGGCCACACUGGGACUGAGACACGGCCCAGACUCCUACGGGAGGCAGCAGUGGGGAAUAUUGCACAAUGGGCGCAAGCCUGAUGCAGCAACGCCGCGUGAGGGAUGACGGCCUUCGGGUUGUAAACCUCUUUUAGCAGGGAA
rnacentral:rRNA from 1 species